AGGAGCUCACAGGCAAGCCAAGGCUCAGAGAAUCCCAAGAAGCACACAGGAGAAGCAUUCAUGAUGAUCUAGACUGGCCCCACUGUGCUUCCAUGAUAGAAGAUCCUCCCAAGACCGGAUGCAGUUGGGGCUUGACGUUACAGGACCAGGCACACUAGCUGCUAUUAGAAGGUGGGGGCUGUGAUAAGAGAAGAUACAGCUCUCCAUGUGAGAAAUACGUGAACACCUGACACUCACCAGCAAACUAUAGAAGAACUCGUGUACGAAGAGGCCCAUGGCACAGAUCAGCAGGUACAGCAGAUGAUAGAGGAACUCCACAUCCAGAACCAUGGCUCGGUAGCCUCUGGUGAACGUCCCACAGUUGCCCACAAAGCUCAUCAGGAAGAUGAUUUUAUUGCAGACCUGAGAACAGGGGGUGGAGGGAAGAGUCAGAAGGUGCAGACCAUGCUCAGCUGUGCGUGAGAACCUGAGAGGGGCUUCACCGCCGUGUGCCCGCCAUGCCCACUCACAACUGUCCUAAUACUCUAAGUCAUCCCAUCCCUUUGCUUUCCAGGCAUACUACAAGUCACGUGGUAGUCAGGUCAUUUCAUGUGCACCAGUAAUCAAGCAGCACUUGUGUACAGCAAAAACAAAAUUAACACAUACUGAAAUGACCGUUUUCGAAAUGAACCAUUUCUAGCGUUCCUAUAUGAGUCAGUCAAACACAGAAGUUGCCUCUAUCCAUGAACUCAGUGAUCAGCAUGAUUACCGUGUAUUGUCUAAGCCAGCUCCAUUCCAGACAUUACAGAGGUGGAACUUAAUGAGAAGUGGACAAUUCUCAUCUUUUUUUUUUUUUUUUUUUCCCUGACAUGUUCACAAG